rnacentral:ncRNA from 1 species
UUUAAAUUGAUGAUGAAGAUUAGUAAUUAGCAUAAUUAUUUUAUAGAAAGUUGCCGUUUGAUGGAAGGCGAUAAAUAGUUGCUGAUGAAUCUGCUUCUAAGACGAAUGAGAUAAAAUUCAUUCGCGGGUAAAACCGUUAAACAAAUUAAGAAUAAGCUUGGAUGGCACCGUGGUUAAUAUCACUCCAACA